GAGGGCAUAGCUCAAGUGGUAGAGCACAUGCUUAGCAUGCACAAGGUCCUGGGUUCAAUCCCCAGUACCUCCU
rfam:Camelus ferus unplaced genomic scaffold scaffold765, whole genome shotgun sequence.